UUGCAGCGCGUCCCAUAAUUCAUUUGCUGCAAGAAUUCGUUCGUUCCUAAUUGCAACUUGGUCCCAAAUUACAUCGCUGCAACCAGCUACCUAGGUCAUUCUAAUUUCCAUCCCUUCAAUUCUCAGCUGGUAGUUGCUAUCCUCUUCGAUCGAUCUCCCCCAGAUCUACAUACACUUCCAGUAAACAAACCAACCUCAAUCGAAAUUUUCUCCUCGGUCCUUCGCGAAUCACACCGCCGGUUCCCUUUUCAUAUUUGGUUUGUUAUUUUUCCGGCCACCACCAAGGUAUCACCGCCGGUAGUCUCCUUCUUCAUUUUGAGGAGUUCCUUCGCAAAGCUCACUCGCCGCCAUUUCCUCUUCCUCUCUGGCCCUUGAAUUCGCCGGCCACCGUUCACCGGCCACCGGUUGCGGUUUCUUGUUCCUUCUCAACAUCCGCCGCCGGAAACACCUGCUUGUUUAUUGUUGCGGUUUGUUUACUCUUCAUCUCUGGCCCUUGAAUUCGCCGCAGAUAAGUGGAGAUAGAAGGAGGGAUUUGCGGUUCAAAUUGAAAGUUCAAUCUUGUUUAUUCAACAUUGAUUCGAAAUUGAAGCAUUUGAACUUGCUUAGGACCCCUUGCUGGUAUUGCUAGUUUCUUGAACCAAAUCAUCCAUUUGAACUAUCAAGGCGUGAGUUCUUCUACUAGGAAAUGGUGACGCCGCCGCCAAAGAAGAAGGCUAAACCGCACCAUGGUAAAGGAAGUGUGAAAAGGAGCACCAAAGGUAGUUGUGUCCUUAAAAAGGGAUCUGGAUCAAAAAACAAAGAUACAUCAAAAAGUGAUAACCCCAGUGGUAUUAAAGUUGAUGUCCUUAGGGUGGAGUGUGAACUACUAUCUUACAUGAUGUCCAACAUGCCUAAAUUUUCAUCAGCAUUAUCACUUCCUGCUUCAAUUUUCUUGUACAAAAAGGACACACUGACUUCUGUCAAAUCUCGUGAUAUCUCUGAGUUUCUCACGAAGGAUUUCGCCAGUAUUAAAGUACUUCAAGUUUAUAUGAUGUACUUGUAUCAUGAAUACAUAUGCCCCUUAAAGUUGUCUCAUAUUAACUUUUUGUGUCCCGAUGCAAUUUCUUGUGCCACAAUGAAGAAGAAUCGUUUAAGCGUUAUUGACUAUAUAAAAGAUGCUUUCUUAAAUGAAAGGAAAAAGGAUGUGCAGUCAAAAUUCUAGUUGGCCCCCUACCAUGAAGGGAAUCAUUGGGUUCUUAUCGUCCUUGAUCUUGUCCUUGGCCUAGCAUACGUGUUUGAUUCGGCCACUCCUCCCCCUCCCGGGACACGGAAGUUAGAAGGGUUCAAUUGUAUACAAAUAAUUUAUUUGACUAAUCUUGAAAAUGACAAAAGGAAGAUUAAGUCACAAAAGUUACGAUUCAUACAGAUGAAGUGUGCUCAACAAGUUGAUGCAGUGGAUAGUGGUUAUUAUGUGAUGAAAUACAUGCAUGAUGUUGUCACAGUAUACAAUGAAUACAAGGAUAAUUUGUCUGAGGGUUAUGUACAAAGAGAAAUGCCAUAUUCUGAUGAGGAGUUAGAAGAAACUCGAGAACAAUGGGCAAAGUAUUUUAAGGACAACUAUUUGAUGGAUGCCGGCGAAUGAGUUUGUUGUGAUCUAGUAAUGUUGUGUUUUAUGUUUUUGUUAUGUGUUGGAUAUGACGUUGGAUGCUACUUGGAGCAUAUAUGUGGUUGUUGAAACAUAUAUGUGGUUGUUGGAACAUAUAUGUGGUUGUUGGAACAUAUAUGUAUGUUAUGUCUUUUAUACAGGUCUAUAAAUUCCCGUUUUGUCCGGGUUUCGCAAAUUACAAGGGAACCUAUGGCAAAUUUUUUGCAACCUAUUAAUAAUGUUUUUAU